UGAGUACGAGAUGCUACGGCAUCGAAGCAGUCUAUGUCAUACUUCCAAGAAAAGCUUGCACUGUCAUAAACAAAGAAUGCCUGUACCAUAACCGACACAGGUGGGUAGGUAGAGUAUACUAAGGGGCGCGAGAUAACUCUCUCUAAGGAACUCGGCAAAAUGACUCCGUAACUUCGGGAGAAGGAGUGCCUUAUUUCUAAGGUUGCAACAACAAGAUCCAAGCAACUGUUUACCAAAAACACAGGUCUCCGCUAAGUCGUAAGACGAUGUAUGGGGGCUGACGCCUGCCCAGUGCCAGAAGGUUAAAGAAGUUGGUUAGCAUUAGCGAAGCUGAUAACUGAAGCCCUGGUGAACGGCGGCCGUAACAAUAACGGUCCUAAGGUAGCGAAAUUCCUUGUCGGGUAAGUUCCGACCCGCACGAAAGGCGUAAUGAUUUGGAUACUGUCUCGGAGAGGGGCUCGGUGAAAUAGACUUGUCUGUGAAGAUGCGGACUACCUGCACCUGGACAGAAAGACCCUAUGAAGCUUUACUGUAACUUGAGAUUGAAAUUGGACUAUAUUUGCGCAGUAUAGGUGGGAGGCGUUGAGAAUAAUCUUGCGGGAUUGUUGGAGCCAUCAGUGAGAUACCACUCUUGUAAUGUUAGAUUUCUAACUUUGUAUCAUUAUCUGGUCAAAGAACAGUUUCAGGCGGGCAGUUUGACUGGGGCGGUCGCCUCCCAAAGGGUAACGGAGGCGCACAAAGGUUUCCUCUGAACGGGUAGAAAUCGUAUCUAGAGUGUAAAGGCAUAAGGAAGCUUGACUGUGAGACCUACAAGUCGAGCAGGGACGAAAGUCGGUCUUAGUGAUCUGACGGUGCUGAGUGGAAAGGCCGUCACUCAACGGAUAAAGUUACUCUAGGAUAACAGGCUGAUCUCCCCCAAGAGUUCACAUCGACGGGGAGGUUUGGCACCUCGAUGUCGGCUCAUCGCAUCCUGGGGCGGUAGUCCGUCCCAAGGGUUGGGCUGUUCGCCCAUGAAAGCGGUACGCGAGCUGGGUUCAGAACGUCGUGAGACAGUUCGGUCCAUAUCCGGUGUAGGCAUUAGAAUAUUGAGAGGAGCCUUCUCUAGUACGAGAGGACCGAGAAGGACAUACCUCUGGUGUACCAGUUAUCGUGCCAACGGUAAACGCUGGGUAGCUAUGUAUGGAGUGGAUAACCGCUGAAAGCAUCUAAGUGGGAGGCCCACCUCAAGAUAAGUAUUCUC
rnacentral:rRNA from 1 species